GACGAACGCUGGCGGCGUGCUUAACACAUGCAAGUCGAGCGGUAAGGCCCUUUCGGGGGUACACGAGCGGCGAACGGGUGAGUAACACGUGGGUGACCUGCCCUCAGCUCUGGGAUAAGCCUGGGAAACCGGGUCUAAUACCGGAUAUGACUCCAUGACGCAUGUUGUGGGGUGAAAGCCUUGUGCGGCUGAGGAUGGGCCCGCGGCCUAUCAGCUUGUUGGUGGGGUGANGGCCUACCAAGGCGACGACGGGUAGCCGGCCUGAGAGGGCGACCGGCCACACUGGGACUGAGACACGGCCCAGACUCCUACGGGAGGCAGCAGUGGGGAAUCUUGCGCAAUGGGCGAAAGCCUGACGCAGCGACGCCGCGUGAGGGAUGACGGCCUGGU
rnacentral:rRNA from 1 species